CCUACGGGUGGCUGCAGUCGAGAAUCUUUGACAAUGGGCGAAACCCUGAUGCUGCGACGCCGCGUGAGGGAAUAAGGCUCUUGGGAUUUAAACUUCUUUUGAUGUGGGAGCGUAGUAAACAGUCCGUGCCGCAUAAGCAACGGCUAACUACGUGUCUGCAGCCGCGGUCAUACGUAGGUGGCAAGCAUUGUCCGGUUUUACUGGGUGUAAGGAACGAGUAGCCGGGCUGUUAAGUAAGGUGUGAAUUCCGGGGGCUUAACCGCAGCACUGCAUUUGAAACUGUGGGUCUUGAGUACUGGAGGAGCAAACGGAAUUCCUGGUGUAGCAGUGAAAUGCGUAGAUAUUGAGAGGAACACCAGUGGCGAAGGCGGGUUGCUGGACAUCAACUGACGGUGAGGCGCGAAGGCGUGGGGAGCGAACAGGAUUAGAUACCCGAGUAGUC
rnacentral:rRNA from 1 species